GACGAACGCUGGCGGCGUGCUUAACACAUGCAAGUCGAACGAAGUGGCGAACGGGUGAGUAAUACGUGGGUAACCUGCCCUCCUUUUUGGGAUAAGCCUGGGAAACGGGGUCUAAUACCGAAUAAGGGGGGAUGGGCUCGCGGUCUAGCAGCUUGUGGGUGGGGUGAUGGCCUACCAGGGCGGUGACGGGGAUCCGGCCUGGGUGGGUGACCGGGCAAAUUGGACACGGGCGUCGGCCCAGUGUCCGACGGGAGGCAGCAGUGGGGGAUAAUGCACAAUGGGCGAACGCCUCAUGCAGCGGAGCUGGGUGGGGGAUGUAGGAUUUUGGGUUGUAAACCUCUUUCGCUAGCGAACGGGUAGGUGGCGAAGAAGCGCCGGCUAACUACGUGCCAGCAGCCGCGGUAAUAC
rnacentral:rRNA from 1 species